UUGCUGUGAUGACUUUCUUAGGACACCUUUGGAUUGACUGUGAAAAUAAGAUUAAUUCUGAGCAAC